rnacentral:misc_RNA from 1 species
AAGUCUGCUGAUCAAAAGAAUGUAUAGCGAAUUGCGCUGUAUCAUAACUUGUAUCGCACAUGUUAGCUGUAAGUUUAUUUAAAACCUCUCUCUCUCUUUCUCUUGAAUUUCUUAAUGUGCGAUUGCGAAAAUCUCAAGAGAUGUUUGCAGAUCUCACACUAUGUUCAAAAAGAUCACCGAUGGCGAUGUCAGGAAGCGACAGUUUCUCUUCGGAGCAGACGGAUCUGCUGGGUGGAGAAAAUCGAUAGGAAAAGGCGAGUUCAAAUGGCGCGAGAGAGAAAGAGAGAUUGAACGUGUGUGUUUUUGUGUGCGAGAGAGAGAAAGAGAGUGAGAGUGAGUACACACAGCACACAGCGGGUCAUUAACGCUUUCGCGUACGGACGAGCUCGACAAUUAUUUCUCAUGUCUCACCGAGCAAAUCGUCAACGGUAGCGACAACGAUAAUGUCGGAGUGGAAGUGUUGCGAAGAUCGCGUAGCGUCUCGAUGAAAGCGUUUGUGGGAAAGUAUUCGUGCUGCCUGUCGAACGGUAACAGCUGUGCGCGAUAUCACGCGACAAAAUGCUGAGGGUGCCCGUCGGUUCUUGACGACUCGCAGCUUGAGGCGUCAAGACGAAGCCAGGUAACCGACGACAGUGGCAAUUGCAUCCGCGCUGGAAAAUGAUCGGCUGUUGGCAGCUGGUACGCAUUUUUUGCGUACUACUCUGCUUGUCGCUUCAGCCAGAUUACGUGCAUUCUACUCACAUCACCGGCACAUUCGACACGAGGGAAUUCUUUCGGUUCCUCAUAAAGUUCGGCUUCCAGAAGACCGAUCGUCACAGACAGAAAGACUCGUACGGUUACAUAUUCGGCAAUGUAACUGCAAAAUCGGACUUUGAUGUGCCGAUCACCCUCGCGAUAUUGGAUCGCGGUCAUUUUCUAGAAUAUUAUGGUAAUCGCACAUUGACGGAUAAGAGCACUGCGUGCGCCUACAUGUUCAACACGCUGAAAAAGAGUUCCUACGAUCCGCAUUGUAACGAGGAAGGUCAAGACUUUUUAAGGCGAGUUCCGUGCCCUCGAGAUAAAUUCUGCCCAGAUGAAGAUUCUGUAUGGAAUAUUGUAAAAGGACAUCAAUUCACAUAUGUUAUACAAGAUUUCUGGCAACCUCGAUUUUGGUACAUGAGCUUGGUCGCAUGCUAUAGGAACAAAACAACCUGUCAGUGGGAGCAUUACAGCAAGCAUGACGAGUUGGAAUAUGAUAUCUGGCUAGUAAAUGGCAAUCCGAAUAUCAGUGGCCUAAAUACUUUGACUUAUCAGUUCUCGUAUGACAGACAAGAUACCAUCGAAUUGUACUUAUUGUUUUUCAUGUGUUACAUCAUAUUGGUGCCACUGCAAUUGUACGCAGUAAGGUUGCAAAAGCAUCCUGUAACAAGAUUGUUCACUGCUAGUUUAUUAUUAGAAUUUGUGGCAGUAUGUUUAAUCUUGAUACACGUGUUGAAAUUUGCACUAGAUGGUGUGGGCUAUGAGCAAUUAGAAGUUGCAGGUGAUAUUUUUGAUAUUUUGUCACGGACAUCGUUUAUGUUGUUAUUGCUUUUACUUGCAAAAGGUUGGGCAGUAACGAGAAUGGAAUUAACCUGGAAACCAUUGGUGUUUGCCACAUGGUUUUGUUAUGGGGUUGUUCACAUCUUAUUAUACGUCUGGAAUAUGACAGAAGUUGACAUUAUUGAAGACAUAGAUGAAUAUCAAACUUGGCCAGGAUGGUUCAUAUUGUUAUUUCGAAGUGCCAUAAUGAUAUGGUUUUUAUAUGAACUUCGAAACACCAUGACAUACGAGCAUAAUACUCAAAAAUUGAACUUUCUUCUUCAUUUUGGUGCAUCGUCAUUAGUAUGGUUCAUAUAUUUACCCAUUAUAGCACUGAUAGCACUUCAAGUAAGUGCACUGUGGAGGUUUAAGUUGUUACUAGGUAUAACAUAUUCAGCUGACUGUUUUGCUUAUUGUGUGAUGGCUCAUUUAUUAUGGCCCACUAGGAGUGAACAAUACUUUUUACUCGCGCAAGGCGCAGACAAUGGCGAUGAACUCGACGAGUUUAAUGAAGCGCCACAUGUAUUAAAUAAUUAUGUAGAACCGCCAGAACUCAGUAAAAUAAUUACUUAAUAUUCGUCCACUGGAGAUAUAAUAUUAAACUGACAAACGACAGUUUUAAUUAUGAAUGAUGUGAUGUAUAUUUGCCAAAUGGUCAAUCUAGUAGAAUGGAUAAUAUGGAUCUAAUGUGCAGUUGAAAUAUGCAUAUUUAUGCGUAUUCUAUAAUUAGAGACACAUGUAUCACUCAUCAAAUUCGGCCAUGUGAGAUACAAAGUUAAUGAGUGAACAAAACAGAACAAAAGUAAGUGCCAUUCUAUAUACAUCUUUGGUUGAACAAAAAAAUAUUGCAAAAAAAGAAAGAAAGAUCUAUCGUACAUGUAAAGAUUAAUGACAUUUCAUAAGAUAUAUGUGUGUGUGUGUGUAUAUAUAUAUAAUAUAUAUACACACGCACACAUUUUUAAUGUCAUUUAAUUCCUCAUUAUAUUACAUCUUGCAAUUACUCUCUACAUCUACUCUAUACGAAGAAUAUUAUGAUGUGCGCUUGAAUAUAAGAAUGGUGGAAAAUAAAACACUUAUAUAACUUU